AUCAUCUUAACCAAAUCUUUAUUACUUUUUUCACUACAAAAAAGUGGCAUAUACCUAUACUUAUUUAGCUACGCUUAAUUAAAUGUGGCUGAUAAAUUGCAUUUAGGCACGUUUAAUAAGUGUGGGAAUAAUAGCCACGCUUAUAAGUGUGACCGAAUUAUAUCCACACUUACAAGCGUAAAAUCCAAUUUUAAAAUAAAAAAAUCUGAAUAAUAUACCAUCCUAAUAAACAUGCCUAAAUCCAAUUCAAAAAUGUUAGUAUGCUCGACACUCCUCACUUGGGUUUUCAUCUUCCUCAACCCUAAUCUACUCUCAUCUCCUCUUCCUCCUUCCUCACUUUUGAUCUCACGCUAUGUACACUGCACAAGUUGACGGUUAUUGGUUUCCCUCUUCACCACCGACAGUGGCCUGUAGCAUAGCCUCCCAUUUUAAUUCCAAUUGAUCGCAGUUCUGAAUUCUUAGGUAAUUUAUUACUAUAUAUUCAAAGAUAUUUCAUCACAGCUCUUUUUAAUGUGCUCUUUCGCCACAUUGUUUAUGGAUUUUUCAUCAGUAAACAAUUGCUUGUAUGCACUUGUUCUUAUUCUGAUUUUCUAGUGUAAAUAUCAUUGUUUUGGUCUUUACUUAUCUUUUUGAUGAAGUUUUAAGGUUUAUUUUUGUUAUUAAUAUAAUAUUUUGAUGUAGAUGAAUUGAAGACUUUUGGUUAGUUACUAUAAAAGAUUCAUGACUUUAUUUUUUUCUUGUACUUGUAAUUGUUUCCUUGAUUUUAGGUUUUUUUUGUCCUUAUCAUGAUGGGUUUGAGGAGUUGAAUGAGUGGGGAUAUUAUCCCUAGGUACUAAAGGGGUUGCUCAGUUGUCUGAGUUGCAAAAUUGUUGGUAUUUUUGAAAGCUAAAGUAGGAUAAGAGUCAUUUGGGUCUUAUAGGUAAUGUAAAUAAGUAUGAAUCUUGAUGAAUUUCUUAAAACUGCUUGGACUCCUAAAAACAUUUGGAGCACUAGUAUUGAAGGAAACAAUAAAGGUUCCUCAACCAAGCUAUUGUAAAGUGUGGGAAACUUACCUAUUUCCAAGACUGCAAGUGAAAAGAUUGUUGAUAAAAUGUGGAGAUAGUUACAACAAGGGGAGAAGAUUAACACUAGUAAGGAAGUGAAAAGAGAGCCUAUGACUUUAGAGGGCUUCUUAACCAAAGUAUGAGCCAUUUUGAAUCCUCUUUAGGUGAUCGUGUAGUGUCUAUGGAUGCUGCUGCUACUUCAGUCUUUUUCAUAGACAGUGGGUUUGUUUCCGGAUACUUCAGAUACACUAUAUUCACUUGAUGGGAGCACACUUAAUAAGAUGAAGAGGAAAAUUAAGAAUAGAGUUUCAGCUGCCUAUUCUCAUAACAGGUUGUUUGUUUUUAAUUUUUGUCUUUUAACUAUUUUUGUUCCUUAUUGAUUGUCUUGUAGAACCUUGACUUUAUUAUAACUGUAUAUAUGCAGAGGCUUACCGUAAUGAGUUCGUAAGUAAGGUUUCACUGCCUGAGGAGCAAAAGAUGAGGCACAAAUAAAAGGUACUGGAAAAACUACACUGUCAAUUUACAAUAACCGUUACCAGAUUGAUGACGAUGAACAUUACUAGGUAUAAUGGUCAUGGUCGGUGCUGCUUUUCAGUAUGUGGCUUUGUUGUAUGUUCGAUGCAAAUCUCGAAUCUGUGUAGUCUCAAUUGAAUGUAUUGUCGCUGUUUCGGACAUUCGGUCGUGUUGUGCGUAUAGCUUGCUGUUUUUGUUCAGGACCAAUACUUGUCUAGUUAUCAAGAUGGGCAUGUCCUCUUGUAUAGGUCCUUAAUUAGGGUCUAUGAAAUACGCUAAGCUAAAAACUUUUAUUACUUGGCUUUUUUGGGUUACUAUGCGUAAUUCAUUGUUGAACUACUUUGUACAAUUGUACUUCUAUAUAGUUUUAUUGUUGAUGUUAAAUGUAUACAAAUAUGUAUGCACACUUUGAAAA